CGGAUUCACCCCGUUUGCAUCCUUAAUUGUUCUACGGGGCAAUUGCUUAUAUACCUGUUUUUGAUUUACCUUUCUUAGAAAGCUAAUAUUAAAAAUAUCCCUUUUUACGUUCGACAUUAUUUCAAAUAUAUCCCUAAAGUUAAAUACUGUUAGUGAACGGUUAGCAAUAGCUGUUAUCUCUGCAAAAUUACUAUUUUAUCCUUUCAAAUAUAUCCUUCUACUAGCACCAACUUUUCUUAUUUGUCCUUAAGUUAAGGACAAAAGAGGUAUUUUGAUUUAACUUACGUUUAACCCGUGAUAAUUUAACGGACGGUAACUACGGGAGUAUUUCUGAAUAACGAAGGAACAUAUCAAAGAUAUAUUGGAAACAAAAAAAAUAUAUAUAUAGGAAUAAAUUAGAUAUUUUCAAAGUUUCUUGUGGGU
rnacentral:lncRNA from 1 species